GUCCUAUUCUUUCUGAGGGGACUGGGGGUAGAGAACCUCAUUCAGGGCAGGUCCUAGUCUUUCUGAGGGGACAGAGGGUAGAGAACCUCAUUCAGGGCAGGUCCUAUUCUUUCUGAGGGGACUGAGGGUAGAGGAGAACCUCGUUCAGGGCAGGUCCUAGUCUUUCUGAGGGGACUGAGGGUAGAGGAGAACCUCGUUCAGGGCAGGUCCUAGUCUUUCUGAGGGGACUGAGGGUAGAGGAGAACCUCGUUCAGGGCAGGUCCUAGUCUUUCUGAGGGGACUGGGGGUAGAGGAGAACCUCGUUCAGGGCAGGUCCUAUUCUGUCUGAGGGUAGAGGAGAACCUUAUUCAGGGCAGGUCCUAUUCUGUCUGAGGGGACUGGGGGUAGAGGAGAACCUCGUUCAGGGCAGGUCCUAUUCUUUCUGAGGGGACAGAGGGUAGAGGAGAACCUCGUUCAGGGCAGGUCCUAUUCUGUCUGAGGGGACUGGGGGUAGAGGAGAACCUCGUUCAGGGCAGGUCCUAUUCUUUCUGAGGGGACUGGGGGUAGAGGAGAACCUCAUUCAGGGCAGGUCCUAUUCUUUCUGAGGGGACAGAGGGUAGAGGAGAACCUCGUUCAGGGCAGAUCCUAUUCUUUCUGAGGGGACUGAGGGUAGAGGAGAACCUCGUUCAGGGCAGGUCCUAUUCUGUCUGAGGGGACUGGGGGUAGAGGAGAACCUCGUUCAGGGCAGGUCCUAUUCUUUCUGAGGGGACUGGGGGUAGAGGAGAACCUCAUUCAGGGCAGGUCCUAGUCUUUCUGAGGGGACUGAGGGUAGAGGAGAACCUCGUUCAGGGCAGGUCCUAUUCUGUCUGAGGGUAGAGGAGAACCUUAUUCAGGGCAGGUCCUAUUCUGUCUGAGGGGACUGGGGGUAGAGGAGAACCUCGUUCAGGGCAGGUCCUAUUCUUUCUGAGGGGACUGGGGGUAGAGGAGAACCUCAUUCAGGGCAGGUCCUAUUCUUUCUGAGGGGACUGGGGGUAGAGGAGAACCUUAUUCAGGGCAGGUCCUAUUCUGUCUGAGGGGACUGGGGGUAGAGGAGAACCUCGUUCAGGGCAGGUCCUAUUCUUUCUGAGGGGGACUGGGGGUAGAGGAGAACCUCGUUCAGGGCAGGUCCUAUUCUUUCUGAGGGGACUGGGGGUAGAGGAGAACCUCGUUCAGGGCAGGUCCUAUUCUUUCUGAGGGGACUGGGGGUAGAGGAGAACCUCGUUCAGGGCAGGUCCUAUUCUGUCUGAGGGGACUGGGGGUAGAGAACCUCAUUCAGGGCAGGUCCUAUUCUGUAUGAGGGGGCUGAGAGUAGAGGAGAACCUUAUUCAGGGCAGGUCCUAUUCUGUCUGAGGGGACUGAGGGUAGAGAACCUUGUUCAGGGCAGGUCCUAUUCUGUCUGAGGGGACUGGGGGUAGAGAACCUUAUUCAGGGCAGGUCCAAUUCUGUAUGAGGGGACUGAGGGUAGAGGAGAACCUUGUUCAGGGCUUGAGUUCAUAAAGAAUAUCUGAUCUAGUCCGACCUCUUCUUAUUCAUAACAUCCUCCAUCAGCACUCCUACCGAAACACCAUGAAUAGAGGCCCUGACGUUCAGGACAUCCUGACAACGUUCUGAGGGACAGGGGUACCUGACAACGUUCUGAGGGACAACCUGACAACGUUCUGAGGGGCAGGGGUACCUGACAACGUUCUGAGGGACAGGGGUACC
ensembl:lncRNA